AUUGAACGCUAGCGGGAUGCUUAACACAUGCAAGUCGAACGGAGUGGCGGACGGGUGAGUAAUAUAUCUGAACGUGCCCAGUAGCGGGGGAUAACUACUCGAAAGAGUGGCUAAUACCGCAUACUAUGGGAGCGGCCGAUAUCGGAUUAGCUAGGUGGUGGGGUAAAGGCUCACCAAAGCAACGAUCCCUAGCUGGUUUGAGAGGAGGACCAGGCAAACUGGAACUGAGACACGGCCCGGACGCAUACGGGAGGCGGCGGUGGGGAAGUUUGGACAAUGGGAGAAGCCCUGAUCCGGACAUCCCGCGUGUAUGAAGAAGGCCUUCGGGUUGUAAAGUACUUUUGGCGGGAAAGCGGUAUCUGCAGAAUAAGCACCGGCUAACUACGUGCCAGCAGCCGCGGUAAUAC
rnacentral:rRNA from 1 species